rnacentral:rRNA from 1 species
UCGAGGGGUAUGGCAGCAAUGCCAGAGACCGGCGCACGGGUGCGUAACGCGUACGCAAUCUACCUUUUACAGGGGAAUAGCCCAGAGAAAUUUGGAUUAAUGCCCCAUGGUAUUAUAGAGUGGCAUCAUUUUAUAAUUAAAGUUCCAACGGUAAAAGAUGAGCAUGCGUCCCAUUAGUUAGCUGGUAAGGUAACGGCUUACCAAGACGAUGAUGGGUAGGGGUCCUGAGAGGGAGAUCCCCCACACUGGUACUGAGACACGGACCAGACUCCUACGGGAGGCAGCAGUGAGGAAUAUUGGACAAUGGGCGCGAGCCUGAUCCAGCCAUGCCGCGUGCAGGAAGACGGUCCUAUGGAUUGUAAACUGCUUUUGUACGGGAAGAAACACUCCUUCGUGAAGGAGCUUGACGGUACCGUAAGAAUAAGGAUCGGCUAACUCCGUGCCAGCAGCCGCGGUAAUACGGAGGAUCCAAGCGUUAUCCGGAAUCAUUGGGUUUAAAGGGUCCGUAGGCGGUUUUGUAAGUCAGUGGUGAAAUCUGGUCGCUCAACGAUCA